UAUAUAUAUAUAUAUAUAUAUAUAUAUAUAUAUAUAUAUAUAUAUAUAUAUGUACAUGCAUGUGUGUGUGUGUGUGUCUGUGUGUGUGUGCGUGUGUGUGUUCAAAUAAUAUGACAUUAGGGGUUGGGGCUGCGCGCGCCAAAGUGUGCAUAAAUGACAAAUUGUUAUAAUUUUGCUAGUUAAACUAUUAACAAUAAAAUACAAUAAAUACAUAUGGCGCUAUAUAUAUAUAUAUAUAUAUCAUUUUCUAAUUAACCUUAUGUAUACUUUAAACUAUUUUAAUUUCGUUCUUAAUAACAUUUACAUCGAUAAUUAUUACAGCAGUGAUGACACUUUCUUUUUCAGAGUAGGUGCACUACGUGCUGUGUUCUAUAUUAUCGAGCUUAUGUGAUUCAACGUUUUCGUAAUAGAGCCAAAUUUAAAAAGUUAAAUUUUAUUGGUUAAAUUCCAUAAAAAUUAAGUCAAAUGUUUAAAAAUCGAAAUAUUCGUUUAAUCAUUCAAACUAAAAUUUAUCAAUAUUUAUUUACUUGCAAUUGUAUGUUUGUAAAUAAAAAUGCAGCUAUAUAAGGCUUAAACUACAGCAUCCUUAUCUUUUGGCUGUUACUGUUUGGCUCCUGUCAGCUCUUCUUUUCAUAAAUCUGUUUGCAUAAUUUCUUGAUCAGUUUACUUUUAUUGUACUUUUAAAUGAUAAGGCCGGCCUUUGGGUUAACAUUAGCUGUUGAGUAAGAUUUUUUUAACAACAUUUUUUUAUGCAGGUAUUUUAUUGUACGAAAGCAAUAAAGUUUAACUAUAAUAAGAAUAAGAUAUAUGGCUAACUAUAGGAUAGGGGAAAGGAGAAAGUUCGUCCUUUCUGUCCACUCCAACCCUUUCACCUCCCGAAGUCCCCGACCUCGCCUUCACCCCAUCUCUAUCUCCCUCAAAAAGGCAUUGGGACCUCGAGCCAUCUGCCUCAUUAUAGGGUUAAUGCGUACACCCACGGGCGUUCGAAACACAGGAUCAGUGACUUCAGCCAAAGUAUAAAUAUUCACCAUAUCAAACCUACAGUCUCAAACACCCGACUUUGCAGAACUCGAAAUCAAACUCAUAACUCCGUUAUAAAAGGAGGGGGGGCAAGCUCGCCACACUGCACAAAAGCACGUGGUCCGCUCAGGCAAAACACCUGCAGAAGAGAGCGCAGCGAUAUGUAAAUGAAGGGCCAGUUUCUUUACUUACUUUUUGCCUUCGCGCGUCGUAUCUCGUUUCUCCGAGUUCGCUCUCCACAAUACAGUUCCAUCGCCUUCUCCAUAUGCAGGACACAAACGGGACGGGAUUCCGAAGCCUUUCUUUCUGUCACGGCGGUACCGCGAGCCCCACCGCCACC
ensembl:lncRNA